rnacentral:rRNA from 1 species
CGAACGGGUGAGUAACGCGUGAGGAACCUGCCUCAAAGAGGGGGACAACAGUUGGAAACGACUGCUAAUACCGCAUAAGCCCACGGGUCGGCAUCGACCUGAGGGAAAAGGAGCAAUCCGCUUUGAGAUGGCCUCGCGUCCGAUUAGCUAGUUGGUGAGGUAAUGGCCCACCAAGGCGACGAUCGGUAGCCGGACUGAGAGGUUGGCCGGCCACAUUGGGACUGAGACACGGCCCAG